rnacentral:tRNA from 1 species
GGAAGGGUCGCUUAGUCUGGCCGAGAGCGCACGAUUGGAAAUCGUGUGUGCCGCGAGGCACCGUGGGUUCGAAUCCCACCCCUUCCGCCA